rnacentral:rRNA from 1 species
GAUGAACGCUGGCGGCGUGCCUAAUACAUGCAAGUCGAGCGAAGCGGGGACGGGUGAGUAACACGUGGAUAACCUCCUAUCAGACUGGGAUAACUUCCGGAAACCGGAGCUAAACCGGAUACUUAUAGAUGGCUCCGCGUUGCAUUAGCUAGUUGGUAAUGUAACUGCUUACCAAGGCAACGAUGCAUAGCCGACCUGAGAGGGUGUUUGGCCAAGCGGGAACUGAGACACAGACCAAGCUCGUUCGAGAGGCAGCAAGAGGGAAGCAUGCGCAAUGGGCGAAAGCCUGACGGAGCAACGGCGCGUGAGUGAUGAAGGUCUUCGGAUCGUGAAACUCUGUUGUUAGGGAAACGGUACCUAAUCAGAAGGCCACGGCUAACUACGUGCCAGCAGCCGCGGUAAUUC